UGUAGUAAAGUGUAGUAGCAUAAUAUAUUUUGGUUAUAUUGGGGGGUAGUUCCUAUUACUU
rnacentral:tRNA from 1 species